rnacentral:tRNA from 1 species
GGGGCCGUAGCUCAAUUGGUUAGAGCGCCGGACUGUCGAUCCGGAGGUUACGGGUUCGAGUCCCGCCGGCCUCGC